rnacentral:rRNA from 1 species
UACGUAGGGCGCAAGCGUUGUCCGGAAUUAUUGGGCGUAAAGAGCUCGUAGGCGGCUUGUCACGUCGGGUGUGAAAGCCCGGGGCUUAACCCCGGGUCUGCAUUCGAUACGGGCAGGCUCGAGUUCGGUAGGGGAGACUGGAAUUCCUGGUGUAGCGGUGAAAUGCGCAGAUAUCAGGAGGAACACCGGUGGCGAAGGCGGGUCUCUGGGCCGAUACUGACGCUGAGGAGCGAAAGCGUGGGGAGCGAACAGG